UACAGAGGGUGCGAGCGUUAAUCGGAAUUACUGGGCGUAAAGCGUGCGUAGACGGCUAUCUAAGUCGGGUGUGAAAGCCCCGGGCUCAACCUGGGAAUUGCAUUCGAGACUGAAUAGCUAGGGUGCGGUAGAGGGAAGCGGAAUUUCCGGUGUAGCGGUGAAAUGCGUAGAUAUCGGAAGGAACACCAGUGGCGAAAGCGGCUUCCUGGUCCAGCACCGACGUUCAGGCACGAAAGCGUGGGGAGCAAGCAGG
rnacentral:rRNA from 1 species